UACAGAGGUGGCAAGCGUUGUUCGGAAUUACUGGGCGUAAAGGGCGCGUAGGCGGCCUACUAAGUCAGACGUGAAAUCCCCCGGCUUAACCUGGGAACUGCGUCUGAUACUGGAAGGCUUGAGGAUGGGAGAGGGAUGUAGAAUUCCAGGUGUAGCGGUGAAAUGCGUAGAUAAUCUGGAGGAAUACCGGUGGCGAAGGCGGCAUCCUGGACCAUUACUGACGCUGAGGCGCGAAAGCUAGGGGAGCGAACGGG
rnacentral:rRNA from 1 species